AUAAACGUUUACUGAAAUGAAACUGAAAAAUGGGCAAAGAUAGGUGGGAGAGAGAUUAAAAUACGGGAAGGACAGCCUGUGUCUCCUGGACAUGGAAGCAGGAGUACAGGAUGAGCUCCACAACACACACACACAACAGUCAAGUUUGUCCAGAACACAGCAUGUGUGAAAGAAAGGAGCAAUGCAAAAUAAGCCAGGAAACGCAGCUUUGGGAAGGACAGACUGGAAAAGGGCGAGACAAGAGGUAGCCGCAACCCUUGAUACAAAGCUAUUCUAAGACUCAAGUAAGCAAGCCCAACUGCACUGCUGAAAGGAGAACACUUCCCAGAAAGAUUCCACUUCCUCAGAGAAGGUCAGCACAUGGGAACAGUGUGUGAUUGAGAAUGCCCUCAAGUUAAAACAGCCUUCAAAUGUUAAGAUGGUCUUACUCCAGCAAAGUGAGGCCCUUUGAAAAAAAGGAUAAUCAUUAAAGCAUUCAGAGCAGGUUUGGGAAAACAAAGGAAAUCUCAUCUUCUAAGCUUUGAAAAAGACCGGACUGUUGCAUUCUACAGAAUAAAAAGUAUGAAUCAGAAA